AUAGUGGUGGCGCAGGGGUUAAGCGCAAAUGGAGGCCUUGGUCCUUGACGUCACGGGUUCGAGUCCCGGCCCGUUGUU